rnacentral:rRNA from 1 species
UACAGAGGGUGCAAGCGUUGUUCGGAAUUAUUGGGCGUAAAGCGCGUGUAGGCGGGAGGGCACGUCCGUCGCUGAAAUCCCCCGGCUCAACCGGGGAACGGGCGCGGAUACGACCUUCCUGGAGGGGCGUAGGGGGACCUGGAACUUCCGGUGGAGCGGUGAAAUGCGUUGAGAUCGGAAGGAACGCCCGUGGCGAAAGCGAGGUCCUGGACGCCUACUGACGCUGAGACGCGAAAGCCAGGGGAGCGAACGGG